CGCGCCGGCCACGCCCCUCCGCCCCCGGCCGCCGCCGAGGGGUGGGGCGUGCGUGGGGGCGGGGCCAGGGGCCGCCGGAGCUGGCGUUCCAGCGCGUGAGAGGGGGUGGGGCGGCCGCGCAGUCUCGGGGGAUUCACUGCAAUACAGCGGAAGGGGAGGGAUUGUGCAGCGAGAGGCUCACCGCACUGCACCGCACGGGAGCGGGGCUCUCAGUAGCUCAGGCAUCUGCUGUCUGCUGCUGUGACACAGGAGACUGCACAAGAUGGACCUACGGUCUGAUCCAGUAAAUGAAAAAUAACAGAGUCAUUCUUCUGAUGCAAAGAACUCAAGAGCCUAUAGCAGGGCAGAAGAUUUGUGACACUCUGGAUUCUUCUUUGAACUAUCUUUAAUCUUGUGAAUUGUGUGUUGAUGUUUUCACACCUAACAUAUUGUGGGGCAUCCCACAGCACAUUUAACAAGGUCUCACAGCACCCUAGGCUGGCAUAUGCCCCUAGUUGAGAAUCACUGGGAUGAGUACAGUGUAAUGUACCUAACUCUGUAUUCAACCUUGAGUCUACCCAUAACAGAGGGCCGAAGGCUGCAAUGACUUUUCCUUCAGACAGAACUUCUCUUAAAGAUCCCCAGGCUGCAGCCAGCCCUCAUCAGCAGGCCUAGGAAUUCUUCUCAGCCAGUGGAACAGCUGUUUGUUGGCCUCUGGAUGAAGUGAGUUGCAUGGGGCCCAGCCCCAGCUACUACACCCAGACUCAGUGCCUUGCUUCGUAGUAUUUGGUUAAUUCAGCAAUAGGUCCUGGGUAUAACUGAAAACUGCACCCUACUGGGGUUUGGGGGUCACUGUGGUGGGAUUGUUUGUGGUGGUAUAGCCCCUAGAAAGGGCCACCAGGGCUAAGCCCCAGGGAAGGGAAGUUUGGGGCACUCUAAAACCCAAGCCCUCUCUGCCUUGUAAAUUACUCCUUGGCAAGGAAAGGCAAGGACAGGGCUAGACUGUUGACUAGAGUGGACAGCUAUACCUGGCUCCCUCUGGAAAGUCCUCUUUGGUGGAUCAGGCAGCCCAGGAGAUAUGCUCAUCUCCCCAGCAGUGAAGGCAGAUGGGAAGAGCUGUGUGGACAAUGUGGGCAUCAGUUUGGGUGCUGCAGGGCCUGAUGGCCAUCCACUGCAUCCAGACUCAUCUCCAAAAGUCUCAAUUCUGUUUUGCACAAAGUCACCUUCACUCUUGCCCAGGCCUGUCUGGAUCCAGUGGCACCUUUCCCUCACUUAAGUCCAACUCAGACAUGAGUCAUGACAUAAUUAUAUCCCCUAUAGACACACUCAAGUUCUGUAGCAAUGGGCAAGCAGCAAAGCAGGAGGUGUGGAUACACUGGAAGCUGUAGCUGCAGACCUGAACACAGGUGGCUCAGGGCAUACGGUCACUUUUCAUUGCACCAAAGCAGCAGUGGAAUUUGGCAGUCCCCUGGGUGACUGAGCAACCCUAUUUAGGAUCACACUGCUCACCUCUGUAGCAUGGAGGAAGGGGCUAGAAAAGGUGCCCUAAAUAUUGUCUGCUUCACCUUAACCCUAGUCAGCAUAGCACCGCUGACAAAGGAUCUCACUAUAACAGUCACAAAAACACCACACACAAACAAACACACACAAAAAGACAAAUGUGACACCACUCACCAUCAGGUGCUUGGAAUGUGUGCAUAGUAAUAGACCGUACAACAGCAGAUAGACCAGAGAGAAGAACAGCUCUACUUCAUAGAGUACUGGCCAGAUUCAACAUUCAGAUAGUGGCCCCAAGUGAAACUCAGCUAACUGAAGAAGGACAACUCACUGAAAAAGGAGCUAGUUACAGCUUCUUCUGGAGUGGCCAUAGUGAAGAAGAGCAACAUGAAACUGAUAUUGGGUUUGCCAUCAAAACACAGCUAGUCAGCAAGCUUACAAAUCUCACAAAGGGAGUAAGUGACAGACUCAGGCUAAUGAGAAUCCCCUUAUCUGGACAAAGAUAUGCAACUAUCAUCAGUGCCUAUGUACUCACUAAGACCAACCAGAUGCGAUUAAGGACAAGUUUUUAUGAAGAUCUGGAGUCUUAUCACAGAAGUUCCAAAGACAGACCAGUUCAUCAUCCUUGGUGAGUUUAAUUCAGCAGCACCAUACCUAGACUCCUGGAGGCCCCAAAUGAACUUUUAGUAUCAGGGCCCCCCUUCACCAGAGAUGAUGAUGAUGAUAAUAAUUUUUUCACCAUUUCCAGGCCCCUUUUCUGCCCAGGCCCCAGGCAGCCUCUCAGUUCAUCCAUGCCUGUGUCCAGCCCUGGUUGGCAGAGAUUACAAGGCAUCACUGGAAAAAAAAUAGCCUUGGGAAAUGCAACAGCAAUGGGCUCCUCCUGCUGAGGAAAUGCACUGAACAUGACCUUUUCAUCACUAACACAGCCUUCCAUCUGCCAAAACUACAAGAUGUCUUGGGUGUACUCAUACUCCAAGCACUGGCAUUGAUUAUGUCAUCAUCAGGAGAAGAGACAGACACGAUGUCAAAGUGACAAAGGCCAUGAGAUGCGAGUAUCUGGCAUUUUCCAAGGGAAGCAUUGGUUCUAAUGUGGGAGGGCCAGGGGUAUAAUGAGGUUGAGAACCACUGCUUUAGCCAAAUACAAGUCAUGAGGAUCAGCAUAAGGGGAAGUCAGGGGCAAUGAGGUAGCCCAGCAUGUACAGAAGGGUGGAGUAAGUGAUCCUGAACCAUCACUUCUGGUCUCUGAACAGCCCCAAAUCAGGAAGGGCUGACAGCAGAGGUGAGAGCUGAGCCUCCUCGCUCCCAAUGUUCUCCCCAGGGGCUAGGAAAUAUCCAGAGUGGGGAGGUUUCUCUCUUGCGUGUCUGGAAAGGUUGCCUAUCUCAGCAAUGCUGCAGAGAUCACCACCUGCAGGAUCAGAGCACUUAAGUCUCCAGGCCCACCCUCCCACCCCAUCUGGGUAAGGCCCAUUCCUACGCCCUCCCCUUCCAGAAGAGCAAGGCUGCGGUGAAGAGGAGGGCGGUGUUCUGAGCUCUGCGUACACGGCUACAGGCUGGAAGCCAUUUGCAGUAUGUGCCACCAUCUAUUGGCCCUGGGAAGGCAAAAAAUUCUGCUCACAGGUGCAAAUGCCCAAGUUCCUACUGAGCCCAGGAGGCUGUGGUUCCACCUCAGUGCAGCCUCAGGUCAGGACCUGGGGACCAUCCCACAAGGGGAAGGGGCUGAUUCAUGUGGGUAAGCACCAGGUGGGGAUAAGUGCAGGCUACAAGGUUUUCCUGGAAUAUUUCUGAAAUCACAUUGAUGGAUUAUUUUGAUUUCCAUGCUUCAGUAGUAGGUCUAGGCUCCCCUGGGAAGACUUUCACCCUGAUAGCCUGCUUCCCUCUCUGGCACCCUCAUUAACUCUCCCACCUUGCCUGCUAUAGUCAGAGAAGUAGGGCUGGAAGGGACUUGCAGAGGUCAUCUAGUCCAGUCCCCUGCCUGAGGCAGGAUCAGCUCUAUCCAAACCAUAAUCUAAACUCUACACAAGACUACUGUUAACCUUGAUGCAACAAUAUAAAUGUAGCACCCUAACCUGCAGCAGUAAAGCAAGGGAACCACAGCAACCAAUGUCCUGCGCUUCUAUGAAAUGCUGUCAAUAUAGUCUCAAGAGAUCCCAGGUAGAGGACACCCCCACAGUCCAUACAAAGCUGACCAUUACAUUCCUUCCCAACUCCAAAUAUAGCAUCAGUCUGACCCUAAACAGAGGGGCAAGACCCUCUAGCACAGCCCAGUCAAAGUCCCCAGCCUUCCCCUCUGGGAAGGCUUAGACACCCUGACACAUAUAGUAGAAAAGUGAGGAAGGAGAGGGAAGACAAUCAGCAAGGCCCAGAAGCAUAGGAAAUAUUCAUGGUAGAGUAUAGGCAUAGUUGCACCUAGAUUAUCCCCAGUCAGAGCCUCUCCAACCUAUCCUUGAACACCUCUAGUUAUGGAGAGUCCACACCUUCCCUGGGUGUCUAGUCUGCCAUCUCACUGUUCUAACAGUGAAGAAGUUUUCCCCAAUAUCCAAUCAAAACUUACUUUGUUUCAGAUUCAGAUCACUGGUCCAUGUCAUCGUCUGCAGAAAGAGAGAAAAGGUGUGUUGCCUCUUUAUGGCAGCCCUUCAAGUGUUUGAAAACUGCUAUCACAUCCCCUCUUACAUGCCUUUUCUGCAAGCUGAACAUGCCUAGCUUCUUCAGCCUCUCCUGAUAUAAACUUGCUUUCCAAGCCCUUGAUCAUCUUUGUUGCUCAUCUCUAGACCUCUAACUUCUCCAUAUCCUUUUUAAAAUGCAAAGCCCAUAGCUGUACAUAUUACUCCAGAUGAGGCCUAACCAAUGCCAUGUAGAGGCAUUAUCACCUCCCACAUCUUCAUCUAAUGCUUGUGUUGAUGCAGCCCAAAACUGUGUUUGCCUUUUGUGCGGCUACAUCACACUGCAGACUCAUAUAGCCUUUCCCAUGGUGCUACUGUCCAGCCAGAUGUCCCCCAUUUUGUAUUUGUGCUUUGAAUUAUUCCUCCUGUAGUGUGGCACCUUGCCUUUGUCUGUACUGAACUUUAUCCUGUUAACUCUAGCCCAACUUUCCAGUCUCUUGAGACCCUUCUGAAUUGUGUUCACAUCCUUCAACAUGUUUGAAAUCCUUCCCAGUUUCAUGUCAUCUGCCAUCUUGCUCAAGACGCUCCUUAUGCCAGCAUCCAAAUCAUUAAUAAACACAUUGAACAGCACCAGGCCCAGGACAAACCCUGCAAUGCACUUGAAACUUCCCACCACUCUGACAUGGACCCAUUAAUAACUAACUACACAUUGCUUUUGGCUAUUGAGCCAGUUAUCUAUUCACCUUGUAGUCCUUUUAUCUAGUCCACAUUUCUCCAAUUUAUUUACAAGAGGUUGUGUGGAACUUUGUCAAAAGCCUUGCUGAAGUCCAGACAUACUACAUACGCAGCAUUUCCUUCAUCCACCCAAGUAGCUACUUUGUCAAAGAAGGAGAUCAUGUCUGUUUGACAUGAACUGUUCUUAUAUGCUGGCUGCUUGCAGUCAACUUUUCCUCCUUCAGAUGCUUGCAAACGGCCUCGAUAGGAUCCAGUACCUUCCUAGAUAUUGAGGUGAGAUUAACUAGUCUGUAGUUCCUUGGGUCCUCCUCCUUGCCUUAAGAGGGACACUACAUUGGCCCUUCUUCAGUCCUCUGGUACCCGGCCCAUCUCCCAUGACUUCCAAGAAAGUCACUGCCAAGGGUUCGGAGAUCUCCUCUGCUAGUUCCUUCAGAACCCUGGCAUGAAACUGUUCUGGCCCUGCUGACUUGAAUUCAUUCAGACCCAAUAAAAGCUCUCUGGCCAUCUCUUUUGUCAUCUCCUCCCUCAGCUUGCCCCCUCCCUUUAUCCAAAUAAUCCCCAUUAGGCAUCUGGCAGCUUUUUUUUUUUGUGAAGAUUAAGGCAAAGUAGCUGUUGAGUAGAGCCACCUUCUUUGUAUCUUCAGUUAGGAGUUCCCCCUGGCUUCUUAGCAGAGACCUACAGUUUCCCUGGUCCUUUUCUGGCCAACACACUUAUAGAACCUCCUGUUGUCCUUAACCUCCUUUGCCAGGUGCAGCUCAUUCUUUAUAUUUACCUUUCUGAUUUUGUCCUUGCAAGUUCCAGCUAUUUCCUGGUAUGCUUCCUUACUGACCCACCUUUCUUCCACUGCCUGCAUGGUUUCUUUUUUGCAUUCAAGGCAUUUAGAAGCUUCUUGCACAGCCACAUUGGUCUCCUGACCUCCUUCUUGUGCUUCCUUUGUGAAUGCCUUGUGGUUAUCAGCAAUACAACCUGGGUAGCCAGGGGGAUGCCCUGGGCACCUGUCAGCAAUCCUUCCAGAAGCCCUAGGCUUUUCAGAAUCCCAUGCUGAGCCCUUGAGCCUUGCUGAGCCCCACAGUUUUGGAGCCCUUCCCAUCCCCAUGCUGUCUCAGGCAGACUGCACAGAGUGUCCCCCUUUAGAAAGCCUUCAGUAGCCUCCCCAUCACCCCUACAGCUGUCUCCUGUCUCAUUUCACACAUGAGCAAAAACUUCUCAUAAUAGAAACCUAAAGUUUUUGCAAGACUUCAUUGUCCUUCCAGGGCAUCUCACCCCUGCCAAAGAUUCACAGCAGCCCCAACCCUGCCAGGCUCAAUCAUACACACUACAACCCACUGCUGUCCUCUCAGGAGCUCUUUCCUCCUUUGUAGCCAAAACCAAACUAGCUGAGACCCCAGAAGCCUGGUUUAUAUUGCCCUGGGCUCCACCCCCACUCCCCCAGUCACCUGAUCUCUGAUCCUCAGGACAGGGCACAGGGGUUUCACAUUAAUCAAUCUACAGACUUAUUGCUCCUCUCCUUGCAGCCAGCUUUGUGAGCUGCCUUUUGCACUGUCUUGCACUACUGAGCACUGCUGCUUGGCCUGCUUCUUAGCAGCUGGGGUUGGGGCUCUGUUACAACUUUCCUUCCCCAAAAAGGCUCUGGGCAGCUACCAAUAAAAGCAAGGUUAGUCAGAAAAAAGCAAUGUAUUGGAACGGGGGUAAGGGGUGCUGUAAUGAAGUUAGCUCAUAAACUGUGCUGCUGCUGUGCCUGUCACCACUCCCUUCUUUAGGAUCUUGGGGCCACUUCUCCCUGCUGAUGAAGCCCCAUCACUGCCAAAGCCCUCUGGCUCCAUGAACUAGAUAAAAUGGCCCUACUGGCCAGGUCCAGCCCAUGGCUGUAGGCUUGCAACCCCUGAGAUAAGUCAUAAAAUAGAUUAAACAUUAAAAUAGUAAGUGAGGAGGCCUCCCUUGGGCAGGCUGCUACAUAGCACUUCUGCAGGGCACCCAGGCCCUGGCUCUGACAGGUCUCGAGGUUGAGGGAGCUCCAGAGCUGAGAAGCCACUGUUGAGAAUGACCUCCUGUAGGCUUGCACCCAGUGCACAGAUGAUGCUUGCAGGACAUUGCUCUCAGAUGACCUCAGAGAUUGAGGUGGGAUGAGGAAGGAGGUGUCCCUCAGCUACUGAGGGUCCAGGCUCUUUAGGGCUUUGUCACUCCAUCAUCCUGGCACAUUUAGAGAUGGUGCUACCAGUUUCCCAUCUCAGGGACAAGCCAAUGGCUCUGAAAUUGGUGGUUGUAACCAUGCCACUACUGGUGAACAACCCCCCCCCACCACCACCCGGGGCAGGCCACCACUGGCCAGGGCCUGGGCAGGGCGCAUCCCAGAGGGAACUGGUGAAAUUGCUGUGCUACCCUCCAACACCACCUUGCCAGGGAAAUGGGCAUGGAUCAUUUUCAGAGGAAGGUGUUGGGAUGUCAGGGAUAUGGAGGCAGACUCAGAAGGAGAAGUUGGGACCAGACCCCUGUGGGAUCUGUAGUGCCGAGAGCUGAGUUAAUGCAGACCUGUAGUGACCAGCAAGUCCUGUACUUUUCCAGGGCAUCAAAGGCAUUAACUUGUGCAGCAGGGACCAAAAGGCAGCUGGGGUCAGCACAGCUGGGCUGCUGCUAGCAUGACCCAUACAAAGUGUAUCUGACCAGCUCCCACCAUGCCCAUACCAUGGGAGUUGAGUUGUUACCACCCCAGCCACGGCAUCAUAUGGUAGUUCAUGUGGCAGCAGCUCCUGUCUCUGUGUGAAGUUCUGCCUGCAAAAAGGUCAUAGCAGUGUGGGGAAAGGUCCAGAAAACAGCAACAAGGAUGACGCUCAGGGGCAUGGAAAGGUUUCUGUAUGAGGAAAGACUCAAGAGCCCAGGACUUGUCAGCUUAGAGCAGUGGUUCACAACCUCAGUAGAGUCCAGGACUCCCCUUGGAAAAUGCCAGCUCUUUGCUUUCACUCAUUUCUUGACUACAGAAAAAUACUAAAGCAAUUCUUCAGUUGCAAAGAAUUCAGGCAGCCCACAGCAGAGCAGGGCAUUUGUGAUGCUCUGGAUUCCUAUUUGAAAUCUCUGGGUUUGGCUUGUGACUUGCAUGAAGGUGUUUGUACUCCUCACAGGGCUAAUAUUGUGCAUCAUGCUUAAAAGCAACUCACUGCCCCUGGCUGAGCAUCACUGCCUUAGAGAAAAGAUGCCUGAAGGGGGUAUGCAAGAGGUCUGCAAAAUCAUGACUGGUGUGGAGACUGACUACUGAACUGUUUACCAUCUCUUACAAACCAGGAUCAAAGGACAUGCAAGGACAUCAAUAGGGGGCAGGUUCAAACAGCUGCCAGGUUGCCAUAUAGAAAGGGGAAAGAGACUGUUCUCCCUUGCAGCAAAGGCAGGGUGUGAAGCAAAGGCUUGAAAUUGCAGUGCAGUAGGUUUAGAUUAGAUCUCUGAAGAAGCUUCCUCAUUGUCAGAGCAGUGAGGCAGCAGCACCAGCUGCCUGGGGAAGUGGGAGAGUCUCUUUCACCCGGCAAGAGGAGGCUGGACCAGAUUUGGCCAGGGCUGGUUUGGACUAGCCUUUGCAUCUGUGCAGGGGGCUGGAGCAGAUGGCCAGCCCUUGAAAUCUUUGAUUCUGGUCUUAAAACAAACCUAAGGCAAUUCUUUUUCAUGCCGCCUAUAAUGAGAUUGUGGAACUCAUCAUUGCAAGAUGUUGUAGAGCAGGGGCAGCCAACUUCUCUGUGUGGUACAUGGCAGAUCAGGGAGGGGACAAGCAACACAGAGCGCAGGGUGUGGCAAGCAGAGCAGGAAGAUGGGGCAGGAAGCAGAAAGCAGAGCAGCAGAUUGGACAAGGGAAGGGGAUCAGAGUGAUCACAGGGAAGGAGCAGAGCUAAUUUGUAGCACAUGAGCAAAGAAAGUUGGCCCAUUGUUGUAGAGGGGGCUAAUUUAACAAGGCUUAGACAGAAUGUGUCCAUCUGGGUCCUGCUACAUGUUCAAAUUAAAGUUGGACAGAAACCAGCUACAGAGUUGUUUUCAAGCACUAACUGUAUAGCCAGUUGGCUCUUUUUAUAGCUGGGUGGCCAUUUUUAUCCUGUGAUAAUUAUUUAAGUGUGUGGCCGGCUCCAAAUUUAUUGUGAGAUUAACCAGUUGUGUAAUAUAUGUCAGGUGUAGCAGAGGCCUCAAUAGGGUGCGUCUACACAAGACACUUUACUGCGCAUAAGACUAAUCUAGUUCACAGUAAAGCAUCACUGUCUACAUGUGCACAGCAAUUACUGUGCAGUAGAUUAAUUUGAAGUUCCAUUUGCUAGUGUUGGCUACAAAGGACCAACUCACAGGAUCAUCAUAAAAUUCUAGUUUAUUGGACGGAUGCAAAAGUCAGACCAUAAACCUUGGUGCUAAUCCCCUCACACACACACACACAAAAGUAGCUAGCUCUGAACACUAAGCACUAGUGUCAAGAUAUACCUAUCCCCAAACAGAGUCUGCCGUCGAUGGCCAGUCAAGGCUUCUUUCAGUACAAUGUUGCUGCAGAAGGGGGUUGCCAGCUGGUCCUUCUGGUUGGACAGGCAACCUACUGGUCAGGUCAAAGAGGGCACCCUUGGAGGUCAUUCUUCACUGCCUUUUAUCCCUCUCUGGCAGACUUUGGUGACUCCCCAAUUCUUGGAUUUACCCAAUCCAGGGGUCGUUGACCUCGAGGGACGUCCCUCUUGGUAGCUGCUGGAUGGCAACUGUCAGCCCCAGGGGUCACGUCUGCACAUACCUGGAGUCCAUUGAUGAGUUUUGAUUGAUUCAUUGCCGUGAUGAAUAGAGCUCUGGAAGUGGUUGAUCAGGGGGUAUUUCAGCCCCAAGGAUCUGUUUCCAGUGUUGAUUAGUUCAAGGCGGGGAGGGGUGCUUCCAUAUCUUUAACAAUUAAAUUUCCAUGAAUUCCUGG